GACGGAAAGCGCAAGCGUUGUUCGGAAUUACUGGGCGUAAAGCGCGUGUAGGUGGCUUGGACAGUCGGGUGUGGAAUCCCGGAGCUCAACUCCGGAACUGCAUCCGAUACUGCCAAGCUCGAGUCUCGGAGAGGAUGGCGGAAUUUCCGGUGUAGAGGUGAAAUUCGUAGAUAUCGGAAGGAACACAAGUGGCGAAGGCGGCCGUCUGGACGAUGACUGACACUGAGACGCGAAAGCGUGGGGAGCAAACUGG
rnacentral:rRNA from 1 species